rnacentral:rRNA from 1 species
GACGAACGCUGGCGGCGUGCCUAAUACAUGCAAGUUGAGCGCUGAAGGUUGGUACUUGUACCAACUGGAUGAGCAGCGAACGGGUGAGUAACGCGUGGGGAAUCUGCCUUUGAGCGGGGGACAACAUUUGGAAACGAAUGCUAAUACCGCAUAAAAACUUUAAACACAAGUUUUAAGUUUGAAAGAUGCAAUUGCAUCACUCAAAGAUGAUCCCGCGUUGUAUUAGCUAGUUGGUGAGGUAAAGGCUCACCAAGGCGAUGAUACAUAGCCGACCUGAGAGGGUGGUCGGCCCCCUUGGGACUGAGACACGGCCCCAACCCCUACGGGAGGCAGCAGUAGGGAAUCUUCGGCAAUGGACGAAAGUCUGACCGAGCAACGCCGCGUGAGUGAAGAAGGUUUUCGGAUCGUAAAACUCUGUUGGUAGAGAAGAACGUUGGUGAGAGUGGAAAGCUCAUCAAGUGACGGUAACUACCCAGAAAGGGACGGCUAACUACGUG